ensembl:misc_RNA
CUGGCAGCCCUGCAGCCUCUUCUGUAUACCCACAGCACAGAUGCACCACAGGUAGUGACAGUGCCAACAUCCCCACACUGCUCCUGCCACAUGCCUCGCCCUAACUUGGAGAGGCCACCUCUAGAGGGGAGGGAAGAGUUUGAAUCCAUGCCUUCUCUAUUCAAUUUUCAAA